AACUAGAGUCUUGUAGAGGGGGGUAGAAUUUCAGGUGUAGCGGUGAAAUGCGUAGAGAUCUGAAGGAAUACCGGUGGCGAAGGCGGCCCCCUGGACAAAGACUGACGCUCAGAUGCGAAAGCGUGGGGAGCAAACAGGAUUAGAUACCCUGGUAGUCCACGCCGUAAACGAUGUCUACUCGGAAUUUGGUGCCUU
rnacentral:rRNA from 1 species